rnacentral:tRNA from 1 species
UAGUUUCUUAGUCAAUAAAUGAUAUUAAAUUGCAAAUUUAAAGUAAAACUAAAUUUAGAGACU